GCCCCAGUAACGGCGAGUGAAGCGGCAACAGCUCAAAUUUGAAAUCUGGCUCUCGGGCCCGAGUUGUAAUUUGUAGAGGAUGCUUUUGGUGAGGUGCCUUCCGAGUUCCCUGGAACGGGACGCCAUAGAGGGUGAGAGCCCCGUCUGGUUGGACACCGAUCCUCUGUAAAGCUCCUUCGACGAGUCGAGUAGUUUGGGAAUGCUGCUCUAAAUGGGAGGUAUAUGUCUUCUAAAGCUAAAUACCGGCCAGAGACCGAUAGCGCACAAGUAGAGUGAUCGAAAGAUGAAAAGAACUUUGAAAAGAGAGUUAAAAAGUACGUGAAAUUGUUGAAAGGGAAGCGCUUGUGACCAGACUUGGGCUUGGUUGAUCAUCCGGGGUUCUCCCCGGUGCACUCUUCCGGCUCAGGCCAGCAUCAGUUCGCCCUGGGGGAUAAAGGCUUCGGGAAUGUGGCUCUCUCCGGGGAGUGUUAUAGCCCGCUGCGUAAUACCCUGUGGCGGACUGAGGUUCGCGCAUUCGCAAGGAUGCUGGCGUAAUGGUCAUCAGUGACCCGUCUUGAAACACGGACCAAGGAGUCGUCUUCGUAUGCGAGUGUUCGGGUGUCAAACCCCUACGCGAAAUGAAAGUGAACGCAGGUGAGAGCUUCGGCGCAUCAUCGACCGAUCCUGAUGUUAUCGGAUGGAUUUGAGUAAGAGCAUACGGGGCCGGACCCGAAAGAAGGUGAACUAUGCCUGUGUAGGGUGAAGCCAGAGGAAACUCUGGUGGAGGCUCGCAGCGGUUCUGACGUGCAAAUCGAUCGUCAAACAUGGGCAUGGGGGCGAAAGACUAAUCGAACCUUCUAGUAGCUGGUUUCCGCCGAAGUUUCCCUCAGGAUAGCAGUGUUGAACUCAGUUUUAUGAGGUAAAGCGAAUGAUUAGGGACUCGGGGGCGCUAUUUAGCCUUCAUCCAUUCUCAAACUUUAAAUAUGUAAGAAGCCCUUGUUGCUUAA
rnacentral:rRNA from 1 species